AUGGCCUCCACCUUCAAAGAGGGUCCAGCAGCACUGCAUGAAACCAUCACAAAUUUCCUAGGGACACGAGAAUACGUUUUGAUGGAUGCUCAGCUCCACAUCAGAUCCAAAGUGGAAGACGUUGUCUUGAUUUUAAUGCCUUGGCGAGCCCUUGUGAUGUUGGCAAAGUUCCCAGUUAAGGUACAAGUGAGCUUCAGCUUCCUGGCCAUACAGUCCGUGACAAUAGGAGAAGCAAACCAGGUGAGUGCAAGACAGGUUGGAAUAAAGCACAAAGACAUCAUCUACAUAAGGCAUUGCCUCAUCCUCCCAUACAUUGUAAACAGUGUUGAAAAAAACAAUGUACCAAAGUUGCGCACCAGCACCAGUCCAGGGAUCCCCACUUUGAGCUGUAGUGUUUUAAUAGGAGUAUUAUGUAUUACCUACCUAUAGUGUGCCUAUACAUCAGGGGUCCCCAAACUUUUUAAACAGGGGGACAGUUCAUGGUCCCUCAACCCAUUGGAGGGCCAGACUAUAGUUAAAAAAACUAUGAACAAAUUCCUAUGUACACUACAUAUCUCUUAUUUUUAAGUAAAUAAACAAAACAAGGACAAAUACAGCCUCAAUGUUAAUAAUAAUAAUCAUCAUCAUCAUCAUCAUAAAAAUAAUUAAAAGGGUUGGAAGAGACACCUUGGGCCAUUUAGUCCAACCCCCUUCUGCCUUUGUGCACCAAAAGCACAAACAAAGCACCCCGACAGAUGGCCACCCAGCCUCAAUGUUGAUAAUAAUAAUAAUAAUAAUAAUAAUAAUAAUAAUAAUAAUAAUAAUAAUAAUAAUCACACAGCCCUAAACACUUGGGAAGUGUUCGACUUGUGAUUUUGUGAUAUGAAAUCUAGGAUACAUAUCUCGUUUGCUGUGUUAUACUGUGUUUUUGUGUCAAUAAUAAUAACAAUAAUAAUAAAGAGAGUUGGAAGAGACCCCUUGGGCCAUUUAGUCCAACCCCCUUCUGCCUUUGUGCACCAAAAGCACAA
rnacentral:lncRNA from 1 species